rnacentral:rRNA from 1 species
GACGGAGGAUGCAAGCGUUGUCCGGAAUUAUUGGGCGUAAAGGGUGCGUAGGUGGUCAGACAAGUCCCAUGUCAAAGCAUGGUGCUUAACGCCAUAAAGGCGUGGGAAACUGUCAGACUAGAGUACAGCAGGGGCAGGAGGAAUUCCCGGUGUAGCGGUGAAAUGCGUAGAUAUCGGGAAGAACACCAGUGGCGCAAGCGUUCUGCUGGGCUGUAACUGACACUGAGGCACGAAAGCUAGGGGAGCGAAAGGG